rnacentral:rRNA from 1 species
AUACGGAGGGUGCAAGCGUUGUUCGGAAUCACUGGGCGUAAAGCGCGCGUAGGCGGUUCGGCAAGUCGGAUGUGAAAGCCCUGGGCUCAACCCAGGAAGUGCAUCCGAAACUGCCGGACUUGAGGUCGGGAGAGGGAAGUGGAAUUUCUGGUGUAGAGGUGAAAUUCGUAGAUAUCAGAAGGAACACCGGUGGCGAAGGCGGCUUCCUGGACCGAUUCUGACGCUGAGGCGCGAAAGCAUAGGUAGCAAAUAGGAUUAGAUACCCUAGUAGUCC